GACGAACGCUGGCGGCGUGCUUAACACAUGCAAGUCGAACGGAAAGGCCCCUUUGGGGGUGCUCGAGUGGCGAACGGGUGAGUAACAAGUGAGUAACCGGCCCUUGACGUAGGGAGAACUUCAGGAAACUGGGGCGAAUACCGGAUAGGAAUCCUUGCUGCAUGGAGGGGGUUGGAAAGCGUCGGCGGGUUUGGGUGGACUCGCGGCUUAUCAGGUUGUUGGGGGGGUAGUGGCUUACCAAGGGUUUGACGGGAAGCCGGCCGGGGGGGGCGACGGGCCACAUUGGGACGGAGUUACGGCCCAGACCCCGACGGGGGGCAGCAGGGGGGAAUAUUGCACAAUGGGCGGAAGCCGGUUGCAGCAACGCCGCGGGCGGGAGGACGGCCUUCGGGUUGUAAACCGCUUUCAGCAGGGGCGAAGCUUGUGGUGACGGUACUUGCAGAAGAAGCACCGGCUAACUACGUG
rnacentral:rRNA from 1 species